AUUGAACGCUGGCGGCAGGCCUAACACAUGCAAGUCGAGCGGCAGCGGAAAGUAGCUUGCUACUUUGCCGGCGAGCGGCGGACGGGUGAGUAAUGUCUGGGAAACUGCCUGAUGGAGGGGGAUAACUACUGGAAACGGUGGCUAAUACCGCAUAACGUCGCAAGACCAAAGUGGGGGACCUUCGGGCCUCACGCCAUCGGAUGUGCCCAGAUGGGAUUAGCUAGUAGGUGGGGUAAUGGCUCACCUAGGCGACGAUCCCUAGCUGGUCUGAGAGGAUGACCAGCCACACUGGAACUGAGACACGGUCCAGACUCCUACGGGAGGCAGCAGUGGGGAAUAUUGCACAAUGGGCGCAAGCCUGAUGCAGCCAUGCCGCGUGUGUGAAGAAGGCCUUCGGGUUGUAAAGCACUUUCAGCGAGGAGGAAGGCAUCACACUUAAUACGUGUGGUGAUUGACGUUACUCGCAGAAGAAGCACCGGCUAACUCCGUGCCAGCAGCCGCGGUAAUACGGAGGGUGCAAGCGUUAAUCGGAAUUACUGGGCGUAAAGCGCACGCAGGCGGUUUGUUAAGUCANAUGUGAAAUCCCCGCGCUUAACGUGGGAACUGCAUUUGAAACUGGCAAGCUAGANUCUUGUAGAGGGGGGUAGAAUUCC
rnacentral:rRNA from 1 species